AUAUAGGCAUCAUAAACAAUAUGGAGUAUACAAUUAAGUAAUAAAAGGGAUUCGUAAGGAUACCUAGCAGAUAUAUUUUAAAGGAUAUAUUUAUAAAAAGUUGAAGUGAAUAAUUUGAAUACUUUAACAAUCCUAAGGAAAACCAAUAUAAUAAAAUACGUUGGGAAUUAAAACAUUUAAGUACCAAUAGGAAAGGAAAUCAAACGAGACUUCUGGAGUAAUGGUGAGUGAAACAGAAUGAGCCUUAUUCUUUUGUCUAUUCUGUUCCAAUGGACUCAUUAAUAUUGUGGAAUUCAAUAUUAUGCUGUGUAUAUUCACAGUUACCAAAGACGGUGAUAGUCCGGUGAUAGUUUUUUAGUUCAAUGAAUAGAUGAGGAAUUAAAUAAAGUAAUAUGGAGACGGCUGCUCUGUAUGAAUUUAUAAUAUCUAAGAAAUUAGAUAAUGGGAUACCAUUCUCAAAGGCUAAGUAUAAUAUAUCUAGCGAUAGUGAAGAGUAACGUGAGUGAAAGGUGAAAAGUAAGUGUAUGACUAGUGAAAGAGAUCUUGAAUUACGAAUCCUACAAGCAGUUAGAGUCUAAUAGAAUUAGAUGAUAACGUACCUUUUGCAUAAUGGGUCAGCAAGUUAAUUUUCAAUGCAAGACUAAUAAGUCCUAGUGAAAACGUCUAUGUUUUCUUUAUUUAAAGAUAAAGAAUAUAUGGGUAGAGUAUUGAGAAUUAGAUCCGAAACCAGAUGAUCUUUUUAUGACCAGGUUUAAAAGGACCGAACGUAUGAAUGUUGCAGUAUUCUGCGAUGAGUUGUGAAAAGGGGUGAAAUGCCAAUCUAAUCUGGUGAUAGCUGAUAUUCUGCGAAAUCUAUUUUAGUAGAAAGUAUAUGUAGAUAUAUUUCUGUAUAGCACUGAUUUCCAUUUCUCGUAACCUAUUAGGUUGCACAUAGAAUAAAUUAGGGGGUUAUAAACUCUACUAUUGGAAGUUAACCUCAGAAGGAGAUACUAUCGGUCAUAUACUGACAGUCUAUUUGUGAUAAGGUAAAUAGACAAAAGGGAAACAGCCCAGAUCAUAUAUUAAGGUGCCCUAAAUAAUAUUAAGUGAAAAUAAGAGAGUUUUGUGUUCAAGACAGCUAUGAAGUAAGCUUGGAAGUAGCUAUCUUUUAAUGAAAGUGUAACAACUCAAUAGUCGAUUUUCUGGACACAAAGCAUCGAAGAUUUAUCGGGUCUAGAUAUUAAACCUAAAUUAUGAUAUUAAUGAAUUAAUUAGAUUAUUAUUUAAUUCUUAAUAAGGUAGCAGAACACUUAGUAGUUAGGUUGAAGAAUAUUCCUAAGAAUAUUUGGACUCUACUAAAGAGAGAAUGCUGGCAUGAGUAACGAUUAAGAAGUUAUAAUACUUCUCGCCGAAUACGAAAGGUUUUCAUGAAAAAGGUAAUCUGUCAUGAUUUAAACGGAUUCUAAGGUGUAAUAUACGAAUUGUUGUUACCCGAUGAAAUAGAAGAAUACUAUUCCUGAAAUCUUAGUAAGGAACAAGAAAAAUAUUCUUUUAAUUAUAUUAUAUCCGUACCUUAAACCGACACAGGUUCGUAGGUAGAGUAUACUAAGGCGUAGAGAUAAGGCUAGUGAAGGAACUCGGCAAAAUGCUUCCGUAAGUUCGACGAUAAGGAAGGAGUGUAUAUAUACCAUAUACACUUAGCAUAAAAGUGGGGGCUUCGACUGUUUACUAAAAACACAGCAACUUGCUAAGACUAGAAGUACUUGUAUAAGUUGUGAACUCUGUCCAAUGCCAAUCCGUGUAAGGGAGGUGAUUUUAGCGUUAGCUAAUUGUCACUAACUGAUGCGGUGGUCAAUGACGGUCUUAACCAUAAGGAUCUGAAAGUAGCGAAAUUCCUUGGCCAUUAAAUGUGGUCCUGCAUGAAUGAGGUAACGCGGCCCUGCUGUCUCCACUAGCUCCUCAGUGAAAUUGAAUUAGCCGUGCAGAUGCGGUUUGCCUUCCGGAGGACGCGAAGACCCUAUGCAGCUUUACUGUAAUUUGAUAUUGUUCUUGAUUAGAUCUAGUGUAGAAUACAAGGGAGUGUAAACGCCAGUGAAAUACCUUGAUAGAUCUUAAUUAGGAACUAAUUUAUAGCAAUAUAGAGACAGUAUCAGAGGGUCAGUUUUACUGGGGCGGUAGCCUCUAAGAAAGUAUCAGAGGCCUUCAAAGGUAUAUUUAUAUUGGUCAGAAACCAAUGAGCAUCUAUACGCUCAUCAAAGUGUAAUGAUAAAAUAUGCUUGACUGAAAGACUGAUAGGUCGAUCAGCUACGCAAGUAGGACAUAGUGAUCCGGUGAUUCAUAAUGGAAUGAUCAUCGCUCAAGAAAUAAAAGUUACGCUAGGGAUAACAGGUUUAUCGUUUGCAAGAGUUCAUAUUGUCCAAACGGUUUGACACCUCGAUGUCGACUCAUCUCAUCCUCCAGGUGUAGUAGCUUGGAAGGGUUCAGCUGUUCGCUGAAUAAAGAGGUACGUGAGUUGG
rnacentral:rRNA from 1 species